CCUUCAAGAAGAAUGGAUGAAAAUUGGUUGGAGAGACCACUUUGUCACUGUGGGAUUCCAUCAAAACUAAGGACUUCUGCGAAAGAUACUAGUUUUGGUAGACGGUUUUUCAAUUGUCCAAAGUAUAAGAUGGACAAACAAUGCGAUUUUUUUCAAUGGCUUGAUUUUGAAAUGGAACAAAACAGUUGUUGCAAAAUGACAUUGGAGUUAACUCAAAGAAUGAAUGAGAGAAUCAAUCAAGAACGUAAGUUCGUUGAAGAAGCAAAAUUCAAAGUUAUGGAAAAGAAGUACAAGGACAUAUUAAAAGUUUUAUUCUUGU